rnacentral:rRNA from 1 species
GGUUUCCUAGGUGACCUGCGGAAGGAUCAUUA